AGUGAACGCUGGCGGUAGGCCUAACACAUGCAAGUCGAACGGCAGCACAGUAAGCGCUUGCUCUUACGGGUGGCGAGUGGCGGACGGGUGAGGAAUACAUCGGAAUCUACUUUUUCGUGGGGGAUAACGUAGGGAAACUUACGCUAAUACCGCAUACGACUUACGGGUGAAAGCAGGGGAUCUUCGGACCUUGCGCGAUUGAAUGAGCCGAUGUCGGAUUAGCUAGUUGGCGGGGUAAAGGCCCACCAAGGCGACGAUCCGUAGCUGGUCUGAGAGGAUGAUCAGCCACACUGGAACUGAGACACGGUCCAGACUCCUACGGGAGGCAGCAGUGGGGAAUAUUGGACAAUGGGCGCAAGCCUGAUCCAGCCAUACCGCGUGGGUGAAGAAGGCCUUCGGGUUGUAAAGCCCUUUUGUUGGGAAAGAAAAGCAGCAGGUUAAUACCCCGCUGUUCUGACGGUACCCAAAGAAUAAGCACCGGCUAACUUCGUG
rnacentral:rRNA from 1 species